rnacentral:rRNA from 1 species
GCACGACAAGGUUAGUCCGAGUGAUUUNUGCUAAAGAGAUCUUUUGCAAGUUCUAAAACCACUAGUGAAUAAGGGGUGGGCAAGUUCUGGUGUCAGCCGCCGCGGUAAAACCAGCACCUCGAGUGGUCAGGAGGAUUAUUGGGCCUAAAGCAUCCGUAGCCGGCUCUGUAAGUUUUCGGUUAAAUCCAUGCGCUCAACGCAUGGGCUGCCGAAAAUACUGCAGAGCUAGGGAGUGGGAGAGGUAGACGGUACUCGGUAGGAAGGGGUAAAAUCCUUUGAUCUAUCGAUGACCACCUGUGGCGAAGGCGGUCUACCAGAACACGUUCGACGGUGAGGGAUGAAAGCUGGGGGAGCAAACCGGAUUAGAUACCCGGGUAGUCCCAGCUGUAAACGAUGCAGACUCGAUGAUGCAUUGGCAUAUAGCCAGUGCAGUGUCGCAGGGAAGCCGUUAAGUCUGCCGCCUGGGAAGUACGUACGCAAGUAUGAAACUUAAAGGAAUUGGCGGGGGAGCACCACAAGGGGUGAAGCCUGCGGUUCAAUUGGAGUCAACGCCAGAAAUCUUACCCGGAGAGACAGCAGAAUGAAGGUCAAGCUGAAGACUUUACCAGACAAGCUGAGAGGUGGUGCAUGGCCGUCGCCAGCUCGUGCCGUGAGAUGUCCUGUUAAGUCAGGUAACGAGCGAGAUCCCUGCCAUUAGUUGCUAUCAUUAUUCUCAGGAAUAGUGGGGCGAACUAGUGGGACUGCCGUUGUUAAAACGGAGGAAGGAAGGGGCUACGGCAGGUCAGUAUGCCCCGAAACUCUGGGGCCACACGCGGGCUGCAAUGGUAGUGACAAUGAGUUCCAAACUCGAAAGAGAGUGGCAAUCUCCAAACACUACCACAGUUAUGACUGAGGGCUGUAACUCGCCCUCACGAAUAUGGAAUCCCUAGUAACCGCGCGUCAUUACCACGCGGUGAAUACGUCCCUGCUCCUUGCACACACCGCCCGUCGUUUCAUCGAAGUUUGCUUUUAGCGAGGUGAUGUUUAAUUGGCAUUAUCGAACUU